rnacentral:lncRNA from 1 species
AGCUUCCCGCCUCCGUCCCCGUUGCUGCCGCCAUACACGCUCGCAGUGCUUAGGUGGACAAGGAGGGGACUAUGCUCUGGCUCCAGAGAACAGUGUCUGAUGUUCCCUGUGAGCCUAUGGGCUCAAUGUGAAGAAUUGUGGAGCCCAGCCUUCGCCUACACACCAGGACCCUGUCUCUGCAUUGCCCUGUGUUCCCUUCCACCGCCAACCUUCCUGGUCUGCAGUGGAAACUAAGGGUUCUUUGGAAAGUCGGUUGGAUGGCGUUGUGCUGGGGCAAACACAUGAAGGAGUGUUUCCUUAAAGUGGAUACAGGUGUGAAAUCCUAAGGCCGACUCCUGAAGGAACAUUUCACUGAAGCAGACACAGGAGAGAGGAUGUUCUGUUAAACAAGCAUGUGAAAGGAUGCGUGAUGAAGGAUUCUUUGCUAAAGACACACUUAUAUUGGUCUGCCUUACAUUGUGUAGUGGAGCUGCAUUGGUCGGGGCGCCAUAGAGAGAAACGCACCCAAAAAUUCUGAUAGUAUUCUGCAGUUGAUGCUUCCAAGGACAUGAGCUUAUUGGAUGCCUGUGCUGAGGCAAGACGCUUGGAGGACACAUGAUGACUGGAGAGUAUAAAUAGGACUCCAUGGAGUGACUGAGACAGAGUUUGCCUUGCUGGUACAGUGUGUGUCUUGUGUCUUCACUGUUCUUCACUUCCAUAAGAGAGGUACAGCAAAGAACUUCUCCUGGUAUUCCUGCUGGUCCUUCCUGCUGGCCCUAGCUGAGGCCUGGCUGUCUCUGCUAGGUCCUAUCACUUCUGUUGCUAACCUGACUCUACUGAACUGAACAACUGCUAUAUCCCUGAGGUGUUUUCAAGUGGAUGGAGCUGCCACUGCUGACCUGUGAAUUGAACUGCCAACGUCCAGACAACUCACAUGAGAGUUGCUCCCAAGUGUAGUCUCCCCUCCCCCAGCCUGAAACCUGCUUGCUCAGGGGUGGAGCUUCCUGCUCAUUCGUUCUGCCACGCCCACUGCUAGAACCUGCGGAGCCACACACGUGCACCUUUCUACUGGACCAGAGAUUAUUCGGCGGGAAUCGGGUCCCCUCCCCCUUCCUUCAUAACUAGUGUCGCAACAAUAAAAUUUGAGCUUUGAUC